rnacentral:lncRNA from 1 species
UGUGUGUACCGUCUCUUCUUUCUCCAGCCAUCUCCAUUGCGACGCCAUUCCUGCAAUCGAUCUGGCCUCGAUCUGCAUUGAGGAAUGAGCUCUCUUUGGUUUACGUUGAUGAGUAGGAAGGAGUACGUGUUGUCACAUGCUGUGCAUGUUUGUCAUCUCCAAGUGUUCAGUCUAGCAUUGGGCUGUGUGAGAGGGACCGUGAAAUGAGGCACUGCAGUGCACUGGAAUGCAUGGCAUUUGGAUGAUGC